rnacentral:rRNA from 1 species
GAUGAACGCUAGCGGCAGGCUUAACACAUGCAAGUCGAGGGGCAGCAUGAGGGUUAGCAAUAACCUUUGAUGGCGACCGGCGCAAGGGUGCGUAACGCGUGAGCAACUUGCCCGUUUCUGGGGAAUAACCGGUGGAAACGCCGACUAAUACCCCAUGGCAUCAGAUUGAGGCAUCUUAAUUGAUUAAAGAAUUUCGGAAACGGAUAGGCUCGCGUGACAUUAGCUAGAUGGCGGGGUAACGGCCCACCAUGGCUACGAUGUCUAGGGGUUCUGAGAGGAAGGUCCCCCACACUGGAACUGAGACACGGUCCAGACUCCUACGGGAGGCAGCAGUGAGGAAUAUUGGUCAAUGGUCUGACGACUGAACCAGCCAUGCCGCGUGAAGGUCACGGCCCUAUGGGUCUUAAACUUCUUUUGUAAGGGAGCAAUAAGUCUCACGUGUGGGAUGAUGAGAGUACCUUACGAAUAAGCAUCGGCUAACUCCGUGCCAGCA